GACGAGGGAUCCUAGCGUUGUUCGGAAUUAUUGGGCGUAAAGCGGGUGUAGGCGGGUCUAUAAGUCAGGUGUGAAAUCCCAGGGCUCAACCCUGGAAGUGCACUUGAUACUGUAGAUCUUGAGUGUGGUAGAGGUUACUGGAAUUCCUGGUGUAGUGGUAAAAUACGUAGAUAUCAGGAGGAAUACCGGAGGCGAAGGCGAGUAACUGGGCCAACACUGACGCUGAGACCCGAAAGCGUGGGGAUCAAACAGG
rnacentral:rRNA from 1 species